rnacentral:tRNA from 1 species
GGGGUUGUGGCUCAGUGGUAGAGUGCUCACCUACUACGUGUAAGGCCCUGGGUUCGAUCCUCAGUACCA